GGAGGAGCCGCGGCGGGGCUCGCACUGCAGCGCCAGCGUCCGAGCGGGCGGCCAAGCUCCCGGAGCGGCCUGGCCCCGAGCCUCGAGCGGGCGUCGCUCAGCAGCAGGUCGCGGCCGCAGCCCCAUCCAGCCCCGCGCCCGCCAUGCCGUCUGCCGGCCCCGCCUGAGCCGCGGCCUCCGCGCGCGGGCGGGCCUGGGGACGGCGGGGCCAUGCGCGCGCUGCCCUAACGAUGCCGCCCGCCGCGCCCGCCCGCCUGGCGCUGGCCCUGGGCCUGGGCCUGUGGCUCGGGGCGCUGGCGGGGGGCCCCGGGCGCGGCUGCGGGCCUUGCGAGCCCCCCUGCCUCUGCGGCCUAGCGCCCGGCGCCGCCUGCCGCGUCAACUGCUCGGGCCGCGGGCUGCGGACGCUCGGUCCCGCGCUGCGCAUCCCCGCGGACGCCACAGCGCUAGACGUCUCCCACAACCUGCUCCGGGCGCUGGACGUUGGGCUCCUGGCGAACCUCUCGGCGCUGGCAGAGCUGGAUAUAAGCAACAACAAGAUUUCUACGUUAGAAGAAGGAAUAUUUGCUAAUUUAUUUAAUUUAAGUGAAAUAAACCUGAGUGGGAACCCGUUUGAGUGUGACUGUGGCCUGGCGUGGCUGCCGCGAUGGGCGGAGGAGCAGCAGGUGCGGGUGGUGCAGCCCGAGGCAGCCACGUGUGCUGGGCCUGACUCCCUGGCUGGCCAGCCUCUGCUUGGCAUCCCCUUGCUGGACAGUGGCUGUGGUGAGGAGUAUGUCGCCUGCCUCCCUGACAACAGCUCAGGCACCGUGGCAGCAGUGUCCUUUUCAGCUGCCCACGAAGGCCUGCUUCAGCCAGAGGCCUGCAGCGCCUUCUGCUUCUCCACCGGCCAGGGCCUCGCAGCCCUCUCGGAGCAGGGCUGGUGCCUGUGUGGGGCGGCCCAGCCCUCUAGUGCCUCCUUCGCCUGCCUGUCCCUCUGCUCCGGCCCCCCGCCGCCUCCUGCCCCCACCUGUAGGGGCCCCACCCUCCUCCAGCACGUCUUCCCUGCCUCCCCAGGGGCCCCCCUGGUGGGGCCCCACGGACCCCUGGCCUCCGGCCAGCUAGCAGCCUUCCACAUCGCUGCCCCGCUCCCUGUCACUGCCACACGCUGGGACUUCGGAGACGGCUCCCCCGAGGUGGAUGCCGCUGGGCCGGCUGCCUCGCAUCGCUAUGUGCUGCCUGGGCGCUAUCACGUGACGGCCGUGCUGGCCCUGGGGGCCGGCUCAGCCCUGCUGGGGACAGACGUGCAGGUGGAAGCGGCACCUGCCGCCCUGGAGCUCGUGUGCCCGUCCUCGGUGCAGAGUGACGAGAGCCUCGACCUCAGCAUCCAGAACCGCGGUGGUUCAGGCCUGGAGGCUGCCUACAGCAUCGUGGCCCUGGGCGAGGAGCCGGCCCGAGCGGUGCACCCGCUCUGCCCCUCGGACACGGAGAUCUUCUCUGGCAACGGGCACUGCUACCGCCUGGUGGUGGAGAAGGCGGCCUGGCUGCAGGCGCAGGAGCAGUGUCGGGCCUGGGCCGGGGCCGCCCUGGCAAUGGUGGACAGUCCCGCCGUGCAGCGCUUCCUGGUCUCCCGGGUCACCAGACACACAGGACCUGGUGCUGGAUGGGAGCGAGUCCUACGACCCCAACCUGGAGGAUGGCGACCAGACGCCGCUCAGUUUCCAGUGGGCCUGUGUGGCUUCGACACAGAGGGAGGCUGGCGGGUGUGCGCUGAACUUUGGGCCCCGCGGGAGCAGCACGGUCACCAUUCCACGGGAACGGCUGGCGGCUGGCGUGGAGUACACCUUCAGCCUCACCGUGUGGAAGGCCGGCCGCAAGGAGGAGGCCACCAACCAGACGUGCUGGUGGAGGCCGCGCGCUCUUCCCUCUCUGUUUCUGAUGCAAAUUCUACGUAACACGACAGCCUGCUUCAGCUUUGCUUCCUUCCAAACCUGCCACAGUUCCACAUACAGUCUUCAAGCCACAUAUGCUCUAGUGACAAAAGCUACACAGUCCCCCAGCAAUACCAACAGUGCUGAUCCGCAGUGGCCGGGUGCCCAUUGUGUCCUUGGAGUGUGUGUCCUGCAAGGCACAGGCCGUGUACGAAGUGAGCCGCAGCUCCUACGUGUACCUGGAGGGCCGCUGCCUCAAUUGCAGCAGCGGCUCCAAGCGAGGGCGGUGGGCUGCACGUACGUUCAGCAACAAGACACUGGUGCUGGAUGAGACCACCACAUCCACGGGCAGCGCAGGCAUGUGACUGGUGCUGCGGCGGGGCGUGCUGCGGGACGGCGAGGGAUACACCUUCACGCUGACGGUGCUGGGCCGCUCUGGCGAGGAGGAGGGCUGCGCCUCCAUCCCCCUGUCCCCCAACCGCCCGCCGCUGGGGGGCUCUUGCCGCCUCUUCCCACUGGGCGCUGUGCACGCCCUCACCACCAAGGUGCACUUCGAAUGCACGGGCUGGCAUGACGCGGAGGAUGCUGGCGCCCCGCUGGUGUACGCCCUGCUGCUGCAGCGCUGUCGCCAGGGCCACUGCGAGGAGUUCUGUGUCUACAAGGGCAGCCUCUCCGGCUACGGAGCCGUGCUGCCCCCGGGUUUCAGGCCACACUUCGAGGUGGGCCUGGCCGUGGUGGUGCAGGACCAGCUGGGAGCCGCUGUGGUCGCCCUCAACAGGUCUCUGGCCAUCACCCUCCCAGAGCCCAACGGCAGCGCAAUGGGGCUCACAGUCUGGCUGCACGGGCUCACCGCUAGUGUGCUCCCGGGGCUGCUGCGGCAGGCCGAUCCCCAGCACGUCAUCGAGUACUCGCUGGCCCUGGUCACCGUCCUGAACGAGUACGAGCGGGCCCUGGACGUGGCGGCAGAGCCCAAGCACGAGCGGCAGCGCCGAGCCCAGAUACGCAAGAACAUCACGGAGACUCUGGUGUCCCUGAGGGUCCACACUGUGGAUGACAUCCAGCAGAUCGCUGCUGCGCUGGCCCAGUGCAUGGAGACCUCAUCCACCUGGCCAGCUCAGACGUGCGGGCACCACAGCGCUCAGAGCUGGGAGCCGAGUCACCAUCGCGGAUGGUGGCGUCCCAGGCCUACAACCUGACCUCUGCCCUCAUGCGCAUCCUCACGCGCUCCCGCGUGCUCAACGAGGAGCCCCUGACACUGGCGGGCGAGGAGAUCGUGGCCCAGGGCAAGCGCUCGGACCCGCGGAGCCUGCUGUGCUAUGGCGGCGCCCCAGGGCCUGGCUGCCACUUCUCCAUCCCCUAGGCUUUCAGCAGGGCCCCGGCUAACCUCAGUGACGUGGUGCAGCUCAUCUUUCUGGUGGACUCCAAUCCCUUUCCCUUUGGCUAUAUCAGCAACUACACCGUCUCCACCAAGGUGGCCUCGAUGGCGUUCCAGACACAGGCCGGCGCCCAGAUCCCCAUCGAGCGGCUGGCCUCAGAGCGCGCCAUCACCGUGAAGGUGCCCAACAACUCGGACUGGGCUGCCCGGGGCCACCGCAGCUCUGCCAACUCCGUUGUGGUCCAGCCCCAGGCCUCCGUCGGUGCUGUGGUCACCCUGGACAGCAGCAACCCUGCGGCCGUGCUGCAUCUGCAGCUCAACUAUACGCUGCUGGACGGCCGCUACCUGUCUGAGGAACCCGAGCCCUACCUGGCAGUCUACCUGCACUCGGAGCCCCGGCCCAAUGAGCACAACUGCUCGGCUAGCAGGAGGAUCCGCCCAGAGUCCCUCCAGGGUGCCGACCACCGGCCCUACACCUUCUUCAUUUCCCCGGGGACCAGAGACCCAGUGGGGAGUUACCGUCUGAACCUCUCCAGCCACUUCCGCCUGUCGGCGCUGGAGGUGUCCGUGGGCCUGUACACGUCCCUGUGCCAGUACUUCAGCGAGGAGGACGUGGUGUGGCGGACAGAGGGGCUGCUGCCCCUGGAGGAGACCUCGCCCCGCCAGGCCGUCUGCCUCACCCGCCACCUCACCGCCUUCGGCGCCAGCCUCUUCGUGCCCCCAAGCCAUGUACGCUUUGUGUUUCCUGAGCCGACAGCGGAUGUAAACUACAUCGUCAUGCUGACAUGUGCUGUGUGCCUGGUGACCUACAUGGUCAUGGCCGCCAUCCUGCACAAGCUGGACCAGUUGGAUGCCAGCCGGGGCCGCGCCAUCCCCUUCUGUGGGCAGCGGGGCCGCUUCAAGUACGAGAUCCUCGUCAAGACAGGCUGGGGCCGGGGCUCAGGUACCACGGCCCACGUGGGCAUCAUGCUGUAUGGGGUGGACAGCCGGAGCGGCCACCGGCACCUGGAUGGCGACAGAGCCUUCCACCGCAACAGCCUGGACAUCUUCCGGAUCGCCACCCCGCACAGCCUGGGUAGCGUGUGGAAGAUCCGAGUGUGGCACGACAAAGGGCUCAGCCCUGCCUGGUUCCUGCAGCACGUCAUCAUCAGGGACCUGCAGACGGCACACAGCACCUUCUUCCUGGUCAAUGACUGGCUUUCGGUGGAGACGGAGGCCAACGGGGGCCUGGUGGAGAAGGAGGUGCUGGCCGCGAGUCACGCAGCCCUGUUGCGCUUCCGGCGCCUGCUGGUGGCUGAGCUGCAGUGCGGCUUCUUUGACAAGCACAUCUGGCUCUCCAUAUGGGACCGGCCGCCUCGUAGCUGUUUCACUCGCAUCCAGAGGGCCACCUGCUGCGUUCUCCUCAUCUGCCUCUUCCUGGGCGCCAACGCCGUGUGGUACGGGGCUGUUGGUGACUCUGCCUACAGCACGGGGCAUGUGUCCAGGCUGAGCCCGCUGAGCGUCGACACAGUCGCUGUUGGCCUGGUGUCCAGCGUGGUUGUCUAUCCCGUCUACCUGGCCAUCCUCUUUCUCUUCUGGAUGUCCCGGAGCAAGGUGGCUGGGAGCCCGAGCCCCACACCUGCCGGGCAGCAGGUGCUGGACAUCGACAGCUGCCUGGACUCGUCCGUGCUGGACAGCUCCUUCCUCACGUUCUCAGGCCUCCACGCUGAGGUUAUCAAUACUCUGGCUGACCAUCGUCAUCGUGGGACUGACUUUGGUGGAAGUCCUUGGUUACUUAUCAUUACUGUGUUUCUGAGAAGUUAUAAAUUUGCCAUCUCCCUCUGCACAACUUACCUUUGGGUUAUCAAUACUCUGGCUGACCAUCGUCAUCGUGGGACUGACUUUGGUGGAAGUCCUUGGUUACUUAUCAUUACUGUGUUUCUGAGAAGUUAUAAAUUUGCCAUCUCCCUCUGCACAACUUACCUUUGUGUGUCUUUCCUGAAGACUAUCUUCCCGUCUCAAAAUGGACAUGAUGGAUCCACGGAUGUACAGCAGAGAGCCAGGAGGUCCAACCGCCGUAGACAGGAAGGAAUUAAAAUUGUCCUGGAAGACAUCUUUACUUUAUGGAGACAGGUGGAAACCAAGGUUCGAGCUAAAAUCCGUAAGAUGAAGGUGACAACAAAAGUCAACCGUCAUGACAAAAUCAAUGGAAAGAGGAAGACCGCCAAAGAACAUCUGAGGAAACUAAGCAUGAAAGAACGUGAGCACGGAGAAAAGGAGAGGCAGGUGUCAGAGGCAGAGGAAAAUGGGAAAUUGGAUAUGAAAGAAAUACACACCUACAUGGAAAUGUUUCAACGUGCGCAAGCGUUGCGGCGGCGGGCAGAGGACUACUACAGAUGCAAAAUCACCCCUUCUGCAAGAAAGCCUCUUUGCAACCGGGUCAGAAUGGCGGCAGCGGAGCAUCGUCAUUCUUCAGGAUUGCCCUGCUGGCCCUACCUCACAGCUGAAACUUUAAAAAACAGGAUGGGCCACCAGCCACCUCCUCCAACUCAACAACAUUCUAUAACUGAUAACUCCCUGAGCCUCAAGACACCUGCGGAGUGUCUGCUCUAUCCCCUUCCACCCUCAGCGGAUGAUAAUCUCAAGACACCUCCGAGUGUCUGCUCACUCCCCUUCCACCCUCAGCUCCACCCUCAGCGGAUGAUAAUCUCAAGACACCUCCCGAGUGUGUCUGCUCACUCCCCUUCCACCCUCAGCUCCACCCUCAGCGGAUGAUAAUCUCAAGACACCUCCCAAGUGUGUCUGCUCACUCCCCUUCCACCCUCAGUGGAUGAUAAUCUGAAGAAACUAACGAAGAAUAAAUAAAUAAUAUAAAAAUAAAAUGAA
ensembl:lncRNA PKD1P6-NPIPP1 PKD1P6-NPIPP1 readthrough